UGUGCCUCUUGUGUUUCCUCUAUCCUCUCCUCCACGCGGGAGGUUCUCGCUCCCAGCUCCCCUAUGUCUUUCUUCAGGCUUGAUAGGCCUUUUUCCCAGCCAGCCAUCAUUUUGCUGGAGAACGCUCCCAGCUGUUCCAAAAGAAAUUGCUUGGUGACCGGCUCUUCCAUAGUCUGGUCGGCAGAGUCUGUAAGGAGGUUGCUGUCGUGUGUUUCCUCCCCGCCAUCUUGUUGGUGCUGCUGGCUUGUAUAUUUGUUUUGCGCGGCAGUUUGACCAAAAAAAUUUUGUUUUUCGGUUUUGGAGGCUUGCCUUUUCUGCUUGGGUUGUGACAUGUUCGUUUUUGGCUUGUCAGGGUCGUCUAUUGCGGGUUUUGAGACGCCUUUGUCGGAGCCCAUGUGCAGGAGCUAGAGAUUACACGUCCAUCUUGCUCCGCCGGUAGCCACGGCCCCCCUACA